AGCACUCUCUAAUUGAUUGGGCUACUGUAGAUGGCAUAAUUAUCCUUUGAUUCUUCCAAUGGUUGUUCAACACGUCUUUGCCUCCAGUUUUUCACUCCAUCGGUUAUUUUCAAUUUCUUUUUUUUUUUUUGGGCUGGAGGGUUACCGGAUUACCGGUUUGUGAGCCGUCUCUCUUCCUAUUUCGUGCACUUUCAUUCGGGAGUCCCGGUUAAUCGGUGUCUGAUUUCUCUAGAAAUAUGUACCACACGUUUAAAGCGGCGUCGUUCCGGUGACAGUGGUGCUUAUCUAGAACAAUCCAGUGCAACCUCCUCUCUCCCGGUCAAUCUUCUCCUUUCUCCACCCAUCUACUGCAACAAACCGACGCCUCUCGCGCUCCUCCCCUUUCCCAAUAUCAGUGACCUCCUCUCUCUCUCCCUGGCCGGCGCCCUCCUCUCUCUCCCUACCCGGUGAGUUCUUUUCUGUCUAGGCCCCUUUCCUCGAGGGUCUUCACGGGCUGCUGCUCGCCUCACUCGACGAGUUAGUGUUCCUAUUGAUGACCGUUCGGCGCGUGCUUCCGCGGCAUGGACGACCUGGUGGCGCGCCUUGCCGGAUCCUCCCGGAGGUGGUCCUGGUGGCGGGUGCUCCACGCCGAUGUGCCCGUGGCCAGGAAAAAACGUCCGUACAUGUUGCCCGGCAAGCAAUUCAGGGAGGAGGCGGUUUAGUUUUUUUUUUCUUCUUAUUCUUUGGAUCCGCUUUCCUUGGCCCUUGCAAUAUACUCCGUAUUUGAUGGUGGCAAAUGGACAGCUUCUCCCCCGCUCCAUCUGUUAGGCAUCCCAAACCCUAGCCCCCUAUUGAUGCACUCCAACAUUUACCUGUCUCCUGCACCGCUUGACAUGUUCUAGACUAUCUGUGGCUGUUGCCGUUGCUUUCCUGUACGUAAGGCUGCUGGUGGGUGAUUUGGGUGAGGUAUGGUGAUUUAAUUGAUGAAUCUGUAGCUCCAUCAAAAUGCAACAGAGCAACCAUGGGUGGUGUAGGCACGCACUGUUUCUUGAUGCGAUUGGUUGGCCGAGGUGCUCAACAAUCUUCCUAUGUAUUUUAAAUACUACUGUUUUAUUUGACCAGGUGAAUUUCCUUUGGGCAUUGUUUUUUCUUACUUUGUUUUGGCCUCUUCUACUGUAUCAUGAUCUAUUAUUGCUAAGUGGUGUCCUCCUAUAACAAGGUAAAUCCAAUCCCAAUUUUAAUGGACGCUUAUAUAUUUUAUUUUACUGGUGGACGCAACAUAAUUACAAUGUGGAUCUUCAAAAUUAUUAGCUGCAGAAUAACUAAAAUUAGAGGCACUGUUGAUGUGAAUUAAUUUGCAUGUCAUUCAGAUUUACAAACUUUUGAAGCACCACUAGCCGUUCUAUGGUUUUGUGAAGCAACAAAAGUAGGAAGUAUGUAUGUAGUGUAGAUAUAGAGCUGAUUCUCCUAUUACCACUUCUUUAUUGAGAUCUAAUUAAUUUUGUGUUCUGUUAUAUAAGGGUGACGUCCUCCCUCUCCAAGCUUGGUUCUUUGAUGAUGUUGCCGUUUGGAUCAGCCAAAUUCAUUCGUGGUCCUUUUCUGGAAGGCAGCUACUAAUAGCCUGUUUCAGCUGCUGCCCAUAUAUAUACGCAUCAAUCAGACUUUUGGUCAAUACCAGUUUCCAUGUUUUCAUAUGAAAAAAGCAACACUGCAUAAUGGAUUGAGCUCUUGCUAUAAUCUUUGUGUUCGUGGUCCUUUUCUGCAAGGCAGCUACUCACAGCCUGUUUCAGCUGAUGCCCAUAUAUAUACGCAUCAAUCAGACUUUUGGUGAAUACCAGUUUCCAUGUUUCCAUAUGAAAAAAGCAACGCUGCAUAAUGGAUUGAGCUCUUGCUAUAAUCUUUGUGUGUUUCCUUUUGAAAAAGAAACAUUAGACCACGUUGGAGCUAACUAAACAUAUUUGUACGCGCUGUCCAAGUUAGCUCAUAUUGUGUUUUACUGCCCAUAUUGUUCUACAGUUGGCCAUAUUGUUUUUACUGUCCAAGUUGAGCAGUUCAUUACAUGUUGCACUCCACUCAUCGACGCACAGCGGUUCAUUGCUUACAAUUAUUCAAUCAUGUUUUUUGGUCAGUUUCAAUUUCAUGUUUUUAUUGUGAAAAAUCAAUAGGUCAUCUUUCAGUGAACUCUAGCAAUAUUCUUUGCAUAUUUCCUUCUGGGAGAUAAACAUUGGGUUAUGUUUUUAGGCUUAGUUAUGUUAUAAUUAGGCAUAUUUGUUUUGUUGUCCAAGUUAGUAAAAAUGAACAUCAGUCCCUGCUUAAGGUUAAUCAGACGUAAUGUUGUUACUGUCUAUGUUAGGAAAAUGAAAAUCAUAUCAUGUAGCUAAAUCGUAUUUUAGGCUAGGUUUUUCUGUAAUUAGACAUAUUGCUUUACUAUCCAAGUUUAGCAUUUCAAAAUAAAUAUCAGAUCAUAUUUUAGGUUAACUUAUAAACCUCAAAUCAUGAUUUUGGUGAAUUUCAAUUGCCUGUAUUCAUGUGGGAAACCAACCGCGCGCCUUUGAUUGUACCCUUGAUAUAUUGUUUGCAUGUUUCCAUUUGGAAAUUGGAAUAUAAACAUCAGAUCAUGUUUUAGCUUAAUUUAUCCUGUAACUAGACAUAUUGUUCUUGAUAAACCACAAAUCAUGAUUUUGGUGAAUUUAAAUUGCCUGUAUUCAUGUGGGAAACCAACCGCGCACCUUUGAUUAUACCCUUGCUAUAUUCUUUGCAUGUUUCCAUUUGGAAUAUAAACAUCAGAUCAUGUUUUAGCUUAAUUUAUCCUAUAACUAGACAUAUUGUUCUUGCUGUCCCUGUUAGAAAAGAUAAACAUCCAAUUAUGUUUUCUGUUAAGUUAUCCUAAAACUAGACAGAUUGCUUUUGUUAUCCAAGUUGAAUAGUUCAUUACAUGGUUCGCUCCAUUUACGAACGUGUAGCAGGCAAUCGGUUAUAAUUAUCCUUCCGCUGAAAAGUAUUUCUUAUUUACUUCUGCUUUCAUCUCCUCCUCUCGGUGGAUAUUUUCCAGAUAUGUGCCUCUCACCUGCCAUGGACGAAAUUGCUUCUGAAGGUGACUUCAUUUCUAUGGAAGGAGAUAUUGCAGCUGAUACUUACACUCAGAGUUCUUGGUUUGCUUCUCAGGAAGAUUGUCUUCUUAUGGAAAGCGAUGUUCCAGCGACCUAUAAUAUUACUCAGAAAUAUUAAGUAAUCCAUUGAUUUAUGCAAUGGCACCUGGAUCAUGGCACGAGGCUCCGAGAAUGGAUUUUUGAUGAAGAGUUAAUGACAAGGAGCAAGAAAGGUCACAUAUGGGUACCAAGAAUAUUUCUGAAUACUUCGUCAUCGAGGUGGCCAUUUUUACAUUACAACGCCAUCAAUACCCAAUUUGCCUUUGCAAUGUGAUGACCGUUGGCAAGGUCCAGGGACAGACGUUGGAAAGAGUAGAUCUGUCGUUGCCAAAGCCAAUAUUUUUCAAUGGAACAUUUCUAUUUCAAGAGUGACAACGAUGCAGGGAUUAAAAAUAGUUGAAAUAUGUUAAAUCGGCAAACCAAGUACUGAAACUAGAAAUAUCAUAUACCCACAAGUUCUUGACGAUCUGUAGUAGUAGUGUACUUCCACACUUGCAUGUACGGUUACUGAUAAACGAAUACUCUGUACCAUGCGCUUAACAUCUGUCUUCCCGUUUUCUGUGCA